UACAGAGGGUGCAAGCGUUAAUCGGAAUUACUGGGCGUAAAGCGUGCGUAGACGGUUACAUAAGUCGGGUGUGAAAGCCCCGGGCUCAACCUGGGAAUUGCAUUCGAGACUGUGCAGCUAGGGUACGGAAGAGGGAAGCGGAAUUUCAGGUGUAGCGGUGAAAUGCGUAGAUAUCAGGAGGAACACCAAUGGCGAAGGCAGCACUCUGGGACGUGACUGACGCUGAGACGCGAAAGCGUGGGGAGCAAACAGG
rnacentral:rRNA from 1 species